UACGGAGGGAGCUAGCGUUGUUCGGAAUUACUGGGCGUAAAGCGCACGUAGGCGGACUAUUAAGUCAGGGGUGAAAUCCCGGGGCUCAACCCCGGAACUGCCUUUGAUACUGGUAGUCUUGAGUUCGAGAGAGGUGAGUGGAAUUCCGAGUGUAGAGGUGAAAUUCGUAGAUAUUCGGAGGAACACCAGUGGCGAAGGCGGCUCACUGGCUCGAUACUGACGCUGAGGUGCGAAGCGUGGGUAGCAAACAGG
rnacentral:rRNA from 1 species